rnacentral:rRNA from 1 species
AACGAACGCUGGCGGCAGGCUUAACACAUGCAAGUCGAGCGCCCCGCAAGGGGAGCGGCAGACGGGUGAGUAACGCGUGGGAAUCUACCCAUCUCUACGGAAUAACGCAUGGAAACGUGUGCUAAUACCGUAUACGUCCUUCGGGAGAAAGAUUUAUCGGAGAUGGAUGAGCCCGCGUUGGAUUAGCUAGUUGGUGGGGUAAAGGCCUACCAAGGCGACGAUCCAUAGCUGGUCUGAGAGGAUGAUCAGCCACACUGGGACUGAGACACGGCCCAGACUCCUACGGGAGGCAGCAGUGGGGAAUAUUGGACAAUGGGCGCAAGCCUGAUCCAGCCAUGCCGCGUGAGUGAUGAAGGCCCUAGGGUUGUAAAGCUUUUUCACCGGUGAUGAUAAUGACGGUAACCGGAGAAGAAGCCCCGGCUAACUUCGUGCCAGCAGCCGCCGUAAAAC